rnacentral:rRNA from 1 species
ACCCGAUUAGCUGAGAGGUGGUGCAUGGCCGUCGUCAGUUCGUACUGUGAAGCAUCCUGUUAAGUCAGGCAACGAGCGAGACCCACGUCCACAGUUGCCAGCAUACCCCUCCGGGGUGAUGGGGUACACUGUGGGAGACCGCCGCUGCUAAAGCGGAGGAAGGAGUGGGCAACGGUAGGUCAGUAUGCCCCGAAUCUCCCGGGCUACACGCGGGCUACAAUGGUUGGUACAAUGGGCAUCUACCCCGAAAGGGGAAGGAAAUCUCUUAAAGCCAAUCGUAGUUCGGAUUGAGGGCUGCAACUCGCCCUCAUGAAGCUGGAAUCCGUAGUAAUCGCGUUUCAACAGAACGCGGUGAAUACGUCCCUGCUCCUU